rnacentral:rRNA from 1 species
GGAGUUAGCCGGUGCUUCUUCUGUGAGUGAUGUCCUUCCUGCCGGCUAUUAACCCGCAGGCCUUCUUCCUCACUGAAAGUGCUUUACAACCCGAAGGCCUUCUUCACACACGCGGCAUGGCUGGAUCAGGGUUGCCCCCAUUGUCCAAUAUUCCCCACUGCUGCCUCCCGUAGGAGUCUGGGCCGUGUCUCAGUCCCAGUGUGGCUGAUCAUCCUCUCAGACCAGCUACGGAUCGUCGCCUUGGUGAGCCGUUACCUCACCAACCAGCUAAUCCGACAUAGGCUCAUCCGAUAGCGCGAGGCCCGAAGGUCCCCCGCUUUCCCCCGUAGGGCGUAUGCGGUAUUAGCCUGGGUUUCCCCAGGUUAUCCCCCACUACCGGGCAGAUUCCUAUGCAUUACUCACCCGUCCGCCGCUCGCCACCAGGGAGCAAGCUCCCCGUGCUGCCGCUCGACUUGCAUGUGUAGCUCGCCGCCACGCGUCAUCUGAGCGAGAUACAACUACUGA